GAUGAACGCUGGCGGCGUGCCUAAUACAUGCAAGUCGAGCGAACGGACGAGAAGCUUGCUUCUCUGAUGUUAGCGGCGGACGGGUGAGUAACACGUGGAUAACCUACCUAUAAGACUGGGAUAACUUCGGGAAACCGUAGCUAAUACCGGAUAAUAUUUUGAACCGCAUGGUUCAAAAGUGAAAGACGGUCUUGCUGUCACUUAUAGAUGGAUCCGCGCUGCAUUAUCUAGUUGGUAAGGUAACGGCUUACCAAGGCAACGAUGCAUAGCCGACCUGAGAGGGUGAUCGGCCACACUGGAACUGAGACACGGUCCAGACUCCUGCGGGAGGCAGCAGUAGGGAAUCUUCCGCAAUGGGCGAAAGCCUGACGGAGCAACGCCGCGUGAGUGAUGAAGGUCUUCGGAUCGUAAAACUCUGUUAUUAGGGAAGAACAUAUGUGUAAGUAACUGUGCACAUCUUGACGGUACCUAAUCAGAAAGCCACGGCUAACUACGUG
rnacentral:rRNA from 1 species